CUGGAAUACUGUGGGCAGUUCCAGUCUUCCGUGCUUAAGAAGGAUGAAUCCAGGCUAGAACAGAUGCAGAGAAGGGCUACUAGGAUGAUAUCAGGCAUGGAGGACUUAACUUAUGAGAGGAGAUUUAAAGACCUCGGCUUGUUUACCCUAAUCAAAUGAUGGCUGAGGGGAGAUAGGAUUGCUCUCUAUCAAUACAUCAGAGAGAUCAGUACUAGGGAGGGAGAGGAGUUAUUUAAGUCCAGGGCCAAUAUUGGCACAAGAAAAAGUGGAUAUAAACUGGCCAUCAAUAAAUUUAGGUUUGAAAUUAGAUGAAGGUUUCUAACUAGCAGAGGAGUUUAGUUCUGAAACAGUCUUCUGAGAGGAGUAGUGCAGACAACAAAAUAACUUAAGACUGAGCUUGAUAAGUUUGGGGCGGGGGGGUGGUGGUUACGAUGAAGUUGCCUACAGUGGCAUGUGGCCCAUCCAUGACUGCUAUUAGCAAAUAUCUCCAAUGGUCCAUGAUAGGACGCUAGCUGGAGAGGCCUCUGAGUUACUACCGAGAAUUCUUUCCCAGGCAUCUGUCUGGUGGGUCUUGCCCACAUGCUCAGGGUCUCACGGGUUGCCAGAUUUGGGGCCAGGAAGGAAUUUUCCCCCAGCUCAGCUUGGCAGAGACCCUGGGGAGGUUUCAUCUUCCUCUACAGUAUGGGGCACAGAUCACUUGCAGGAUUGAACUAGUGUAAAUGGUGGAUUCUCUGUUGCUUGAAGUUUUUAAAACCAUGAUGUGAAGACGUUAGUGACUCACCCAGAGAUUGGGGGUCUGUUACAGGAGUGGGUGGCCUGUGACGUGCAUGAGAUCAGACUGGAUGAUCGUGAUGGGCCCUCCUGGCCUAUGAGUCUGUAGGGCUGCAUGUGUGUCUGGUGGGUGGGCAGGAGGGACACGAACAUACAGGCCAGAGAUCAGCAGAUGAAUCCCGCACUGCCGGGGCGGUGCCAACAUGGGUGAGUUGUGAGAGAGUCUGAGGAAGGCGUUAUUCUCCCCCACCAUAACGAAUGGGGUCUAAGAACAACACCCAUGAUACGUACAACUGCCGAACUGAACAGGCAGUGGGAGGCUCCUUGCUUCAAGGCAUUGUGGGCCAACCGUCAGGAAACAGCAGCUGCUGGGGUGUAGAUACAACGUGUCUCACAACUAAAGAGCUGGAUAAGGAAAGCAGGAGGGGCGAUAACACAAAACGUUGGAAGUGGUGAAAUACCACAGUUCUUAACGGAAAAGCAACUGAAAUAAAUUAUUCUUUGACAGGUGUUAAAAUCUCCUCUCCCCCCAAACCACCAAUGAAGAAUUGGGAAGCAGUUCCUGUUGGCGUCUCGCUGGCUGAAUGCUUAUUAUAGAGAAUGCCAUUUGUUUUCAGUUCUUAAACUGAAAAAUUCCAGGGUUUUACACAAGCAAUUUGGUUGGGUUUUUUUAAACCAAUUCUUGCCCUCUUCAGUACAUGGAAAUACUAAUUAUGUUUAAAAAAAUCCAGUACAUUAGAUUAGGUUGGUGUGUUCACGUUAAUAAUAAGUUAGUUUAAGUGUAAAUGUGAGACUGUCUAUUAAAGUGAAAAACACACGAAUGCCUACAUGUAUGUCCUAUGUACAGUUCAUAAUACAAACCACAGCGUUAAACUGAGUUUCCUCUCAAUACUUCCACUUUCCUCUACUUGUCGCUUUUUUUUCCGUGUCCCCCAAUAUUUAACCAGAAAACCGUGAAGUCAAUUUUUUGCUGUGAUUUUCACCUAUGUUUAAUUUUUUUUUGUAAUAAACACUGAUAGAUUCCCAGAGACUUUUAAACAAAAUAAAAACCAAAAAAGAAAGGACCUUGGUUCUAUAUAUUACUAGUAACACAUUAGAGAGUCUGGAAUUGGUACCUUUGUAUUAUCUGAAUCUUAAUAAAAUCUCCAUCACUGUAAAUG